CCUACGGGUGGCAGCAGUGAGGAAUAUUGGUCAAUGGACGAGAGUCUGAACCAGCCAAGUCGCGUGAAGGAUGACUGCCCUAUGGGUUGUAAACCUCUUUUAUCUGGGAAUAAAGUGUUCGACGCGUCGCCUCUUGUGUGUACCAUAUGAAAAAGGAUCGGCUAACUCCGUGCCAGCAGCCGCGGUAAUACGUAGGUGGCGAGCGUUGUCCGGAUUUACUGGGUGUAAAGGGUGGGUAGGCGGGAAGGCAAGUCAGCGGUGAAAUCCGGGGGCUCAACCCCCGAAUCGCAUUUGAAACUGUGUGUCUUGAGUACUGGAGAGGCAGGCGGAAUGCGGUGUGUAGCGGUGAAAUGCAUAGAUAUAAGGAAGAACACCAGUGGCGAAGGCAGUCUGCUGGACAGCAACUGACGGUGAGGCACGAAAGCGUGGGUAGCGAACAGGAUUAGAUACCCCAGUAGUC
rnacentral:rRNA from 1 species